GUAAAAAUAAGAAAAGAAUCGAAAUAACCUACAAAGGUGGGAUCUGCAGGGUGGCAGAAA
ncrna:unclassified sequences RAGATH-30 RNA